rnacentral:RNase_P_RNA from 1 species
CUAGAUAAGCGACUUAUCGCUUUAAAGUAUUAAAGAGGAAAGUCCGGGCUCUACAAAGACACAGUGCCAGUUAACAACUGGCGGGGGGAACCCCAGGGAUAGUGCCACAGAAAAUAAACCGCCUCAUCAAGGCAAGGGUGAAAAGGUGUGGUAAGAGCACACCGGUUGUUUGGUAACA